GAUGAACGCUGGCGGCGUGCCUAAUACAUGCAAGUCGAGCGAACGGACGAGAAGCUUGCUUCUCUGAUGUUAGCGGCGGACGGGUGAGUAACACGUGGAUAACCUACCUAUAAGACUGGGAUAACUUCGGGAAACCGGAGCUAAUACCGGGUAAUAUUUUGAACCGCAUGGUUCAAAAGUGAAAGACGGUCCUGCUGUCACUUAUAGAUGGAUCCGCGCUGCAUUAGCUAGUUGGUAAGGUAACGGCUUACCAAGGCAACGAUGCAUAGCCGACCUGAGAGGGUGAUCGGCCACACUGGAACUGAGACACGGUCCAGACUCCUACGGGAGGCAGCAGUAGGGAAUCUUCCGCAAUGGGCGAAAGCCUGACGGAGCAACGCCGCGUGAGUGAUGAAGGUCUUCGGAUCGUAAAACUCUGUUAUUAGGGAAGAACAUAUGUGUAAGUAACUGUGCACAUCUUGACGGUACCUAAUCAGAAAGCCACGGCUAACUACG
rnacentral:rRNA from 1 species